CCUGGGUCCAGGGGUAUUCCCAGUGCCCAUUUUGACUUGAUUGGACAUCUUGAGAUGACUUGACUCCUCACUACACACUAAACCAUGGAAUGCUUUUAUCCCUAUAGGAAUUACAAGCUCAACAGCAUCUUUAAAUAAUGAAUGCCACAACACUUUAAAAUGUGUGUAGAUACACAUGUAUUUUAUCACACAUGGCUUACAGCAGGCUUUUGAAGAACAGACCACGUGUUUUCAGUCUGCUGGUGAAUAACAGGAUCUUGGAAGUCAUUUUCUGCGCUGUAGACUGCACAUCCUCAAGUACUUCCACUCACACCUGACCAUCCUUGACAU